AUUGAACGCUGGCGGCAUGCCUUACACAUGCAAGUCGAACGGCAGCAUGGGUGCUUGCACCUGGUGGCGAGUGGCGAACGGGUGAGUAAUACAUCGGAACGUACCUUAUCGUGGGGGAUAACGCAGCGAAAGCUGUGCUAAUACCGCAUACGCCCUGAGGGGGAAAGCGGGGGAUCGAAAGACCUCGCGCGAUUAGAGCGGCCGAUGCCUGAUUAGCUUGUUGGUGGGGUAAAAGCCCACCAAGGCGACGAUCAGUAGCUGGUCUGAGAGGACGAUCAGCCACACUGGGACUGAGACACGGCGCAGACUCCUACGGGAGGCAGCAGUGGGGAAUUUUGGACAAUGGGGGCAACCCUGAUCCAGCAAUGCCGCGUGAGUGAAGAAGGCCUUCGGGUUGUAAAGCUCUUUUGUCAGGGAAGAAACACCGGCUCUAACACAGUCCGGGAAUGACGGUACCUGAAGAAUAAGCACCGGCUAACUACGUGCCAGCAGCCGCCGCGG
rnacentral:rRNA from 1 species